CACGUAGGGGGCAAGCGUUGUCCGGAUUUAUUGGGCGUAAAGAGCUCGUAGGCGGUUCGGUAAGUCAGGUGUGAAACCUCCAGGCUCAACCUGGAGACGCCACCUGAUACUGCUGUGACUAGAGUCCGGUAGGGGAGCGUGGAAUUCCUGGUGUAGCGGUGAAAUGCGCAGAUAUCAGGAGGAACACCAGCGGCGAAGGCGGCGCUCUGGGCCGGAACUGACGCUGAGGAGCGAAAGCGUGGGUAGCAAACAGG
rnacentral:rRNA from 1 species